rnacentral:rRNA from 1 species
GAUGAACGCUGGCGGCGUGCCUAAUACAUGCAAGUCGAGCGAACGGACGAGAAGCUUGCUUCUCUGAUGUUAGCGGCGGACGGGUGAGUAACACGUGGAUAACCUACCUAUAAGACUGGGAUAACUUCGGGAAACCGGAGCUAAUACCGGAUAAUAUUUUGAACCGCAUGGUUCAAAAGUGAAAGACGGUCUUGCUGUCACUUAUAGAUGGAUCCGCGCUGCAUUAGCUAGUUGGUAAGGUAACGGCUUACCAAGGCAACGAUGCAUAGCCGACCUGAGAGGGUGAUCGGCCACACUGGAACUGAGACACGGUCCAGACUCCUACGGGAGGCAGCAGGAGGGAAUCUUCCGCAAUGGGCGAAAGCCUGACGGAGCAACGCCGCGUGAGGGAUGAAGGUCUUCGGAUCGUAAAACUCUGUUAUUAGGGAAGAACAUAUGUGUAAGUAACUGUGCACAUCUUGACGGUACCUAAUCAGAAAGCCACGGCUAACUACGUG